rnacentral:lncRNA from 1 species
AUCAGAUUGUAUCACUGUGGAACUUGCUACCAGUUCUGUCCCAGGCACCACAGAAAUAAACAGCCUCAUCUUCAGCCUGGUUGUUGGAGAUGGUUAAAGAGCCAGUGUCCCCAGAUUCAGAGCCAGUGAACCGAUCUGGGAUCCCUUCUCCCCUGGUGCUGGAGCCAUACCACACAAAGCGAGGAGCCUGUCCUGGUUUCUGUUGAUACCAGUGAAAGCUGCCCCAGUCACCACCACUACUUCUAGAGCAGGAGAGUUUCAGAGUUUGGCCCAGGGACACAGACUCCGAGGCUGGCUGAGUUACAGACUGUGAAAUGACACCUUUGGAAAAAGAAAAAGAAAAAUAUAUGCAUCAGAAAAACAUUGUGUUUCUAUGAUAAAUUACACGAAAAAUGGGUUUGUUGCUCAACCCAUUAUUCCUGCACAGGACAACCUGAUCCCAUUAACCACCCAGAAACAGACCUGAGCAGUAACUGAGAAGGGUGAAGAGAAGAAGGAGCCAAGCCAUGGUGAAGUCAAAGGAAGGGGGAGUCCCAGAGACAAACAGCUCCUCAAUCUAGAUGCACCUUCCUCCUCCUCCUUCUCUCUUAAAUCCCUUGGAAAUGAGAAAUGAUCUCUCAUGCAAAUAGGUCCACAUCCUUUGGCUUGGGCGGAGGCAUCAUGCUUAGUGGCAAAGGGGGUGAUUUGCAUAAGGAAGGUCCUAUCCUUGGUAUGCCAGUUAAAAAGGAAAAGAUCAAGUAGCAGAUUAUGGGAAAGUCCAAGAGACACUGUCGUGAGCAUCAGAAUACUGGACUAGCAUUGCUGCUUAUUGCACAUUCAUCCUGAUUUGUCUGCAAGAAAUUUGAACCAAGUCAACUGUUUAUUCAGCCUCCAUUCACACCUGUUUGCAGGGAGAGAAAAUGACGUUGCACCUGGGAAAUGUGACUCUACACUUUCCAUUUCCCUCUCACUUUCCUUGACACAAAAGUCAUUCUUUGAAUGGUGAUCAUGUUUCUGGCCUCUCUUUUGAAGGAUCAAGAAAUACGUGAGCAUGCGAGGCAGAAUUCUCUGACUUUUGCAUGGAUAGAAAGUGGCCUAGUGUACAAUGAUCAGAGUCUCACAUCUGUUGCUCUGCAGGACUCUCUCCUAGCUAUGGAUGAUAGAAGUCUGGCAUUGAAUGUGGGGCUUUCAGAAAACAAGGCACAAAGCACACAUUUCCUCCAACAUUCCUCAGAGGAAAAUAGUAACAUUUCUCAUUUCCCCCCCUCAGGACCCUUCUCAACACCCCAUUUUUUGUUGUCCCCCCACAGAGAAUCUUCUUUCAGAAGAAUUGAGUGUGGCACCAUCACUGCACCAAUAGGACACAACAAACACGCUCUCCACAAUCCCGAAGAAAACAUGUAAUAUUGAUUUUAUUACAUUUUAUGAUUUGGUAGAUUUGCAAAAAUAAAAACACACAUCAAUAAAUGAAUUUUAGAAAGGGGCAAGAUUAGAUGCAGAUGCAAAAGCAUUUAUAUUAAAAAAAAAAAAAACCAGACUCCUUGCGCUCGGCUCCCCCUUUCUUCCUGCCCAGGGCAGCCCUGCCUUCUGUUUGCACCUCAGAGGUGGCACAUCACGCAGAGCAGAGCCUUGGCAGCGGCAGCCAUGCCAUCCUCCUCCUCCUCCUCCUCCUCCUUGAUCCAGCAGUCCAGACACACAUACAAUGAAACAUCCAGCUGUUUGGGGACCUCAGCUCCCAUCAGCUCCCUCAAGCACAGCUCAUUGUCAGGGAUGGCGGGAGAUGCAGCCCCAUAGCAUCCACAGGAAAAUAUGUGGGUUAUCCCUGCCCUAGACAAACUUUCUGUGCCAAAGGCAGUCCAUCCAGGCAUCAGCCUGACAGCAAACAUGGUCUUGGACUGCAUUCAGCUUCAGACUUUUAAUUCCAAUGGGUCUUCUCUGAGUCGAACCCAUUACACACAACUUGCCUAAGCAUGCCUAGAGUCUUAGGUAAUAUUCUUGGGUUUUGGGGGCCCUUGAGCUCUAUACAUGAGUGGUUUGGAGUGAACAAUGCAUAGCAGACAUUUUCCUGUCGUGCCCCAGGUGCAACAGGAGGAAACAAUCUGUGUUGUUAUCCUAUUCUGCCAAACGUUGAGAAGAUGAAUCAACAUCUCCCCUUAAAGGUGAGAACUGGAAGAGCAGGCAUCACACACAAGAAAGAAGAUUUGACCUGCAACUGUAACUGAACGUUCAGAAAUUGAAACAAUUUGCAAGGCAAAUAUUCAGAUUCAUAACAUUGUGAAGCAUCCUUUGUAAACCUCACUGCAAAGAACAGAGUACCCUAAUGAUGGACACUUGGCCAGGAGCUUCAGUUGAAAUACCUGGAUUUGCAGCCAAAACCUGAGCAGAUAACUGUUUUUGACAGCCACUUUAUGCCUGCACAAGCCAAGCUGAGCCCAUUAACCCUCCACAACCAGACCUGAGCAAUAAUUGAGAAACACGAAGAGAACAAGGAUCCAGGCCAUGGGGAAAGUCAAAAGUAGGGUGAGCCUGAGAGGCAAACAGCUCUCUGAUCUAGCUUCGCCUUCUGCUUUCUUAAAUAAACCGGGAAAUGAGGCAUUUUCUAUUGUAUUUAAAUGUUUGGAUUGGAACUCAAAAACUGAGUGCACACCAGCAGUGGCCAUGUCCCUGGGGCAGAGAUGUACAAUCUUUCUCUGACAAGUCUGUACCUUUCGGAGGACUGGAUUUGCAGUUUCAAGAAAAGGUUUUGCUUCCCACUUGAAUGAAUCCCUUCUCCCCAGCUGAAAAGAUCAUAAAACAUAAAGCCAACAAGCGACCCAGGUUUCUGUUAGUACCCUUAAAAGCUGUCCCAGUGUCCACUCUUAGAGAGGGAGAACACAUGAAUGGUUUGGGCUUGGCCCAUAGACAAAGACGCAGAGGCAGCCGGGGUCAAAGUGUGCAGUGAACUGACACCUUGAAAGACACAAGCAAAGAACGAUGACCUGUGAGAAUCAUAGAAUUGUACAAUUGGAACGCCCCCAAAGGUCAUCUAGUCCAACCCCUGCAAUGCAGGAAUCUUAGCUAAAACUUGCAUGAUAGAUGACCAUCCAACCUCUGCUUACAACAUUCCAAGAAAGGAGAGUACACAACCUCUAGAGUCCUACCCUCCAGACCAGGAGAAAACAAUCCUGUUCCCUCUUCCAUGUGACAGCCUUUGGGAUAUUUGAAGAUGGCUAUCAUACCUCCCAUCAGACCCAUCUUUUCCAGGCUAAACAUACCCAGCUCCUUCAGCUGUUCUUCAUAAGGCUUGAUUUCCCGGCCCUUGAUCAUCUUGGUUGAGAAGCGACUGAGACCAAAUGGCCUUACCAAACUUUUCAGCUCUUUAGUUCAAAAGCUCCUCUGGAAUCAAGGAAAUUAAGCCCCAGAGUGUUAGUUCAUUUUUAGCUCUGGGGAGGAAGAGUGAAGGUUUUGUCUCAGUACCCCAUCAGAUUGUAUCACUGUGGAACUUGCUACCACCAGUGUACUCCCAGGCCCCACAGUAAUAAAAGGCCUCAUCUUCAGUCUGGAUGCUGGAGAUGGUUAAAUAGCUAGUGUUCCCAGAGAUAGAGGCAGUGAACCGAUCUGGGAUCCCUUCUCCCCGGGUGCUGGUACUAUACAACACAAAGCGAGGAGCCUGGCCAGGUUUCUGUUGAUACCAGCCAAAGCUAUACCAGCUACCACUACUUCUAGAGCAGGAGAGUUUCAGAGUUUGGCCCAGGGACACAGACUCCGAGGCUGGCUGAGUUAAAGUCUGUGAAAUGACAC